AGGAUCAUCAAAAUGGCCAAGUUGAAUGCAUGUCUAUCUUUCCAACUAGUAAACACUAGAUACGAAACACCUUACAACAUCUUUUGCAGCUAGAGCCGUCGGAAGUGUGGAAAACAGUAAACAAACAAAAUAAUGGAUGUGCUUUAGCAUUUUGAAAACCAUGUCAAGAAAAGAACGAAAAAGAGUUAAUCCCAUUGAAGAGUCAAGGAAAUGGAGUGAAAAGAAUAUUGAUCCACCAGGAUUUAAUAUAAGCUUAUUUGAGAACAAAGGCAGAGGAGUCGGAACAACUGUCCGCAGAAGUGCAGGCGACUUUUUGUUAGUGUAUACAGGAAAGGUUAUAACAAAGAAGGAAGGUGAGAACUUGGAAGAAGGGUUCUCAUCUGGCUACAGAUUUUGUUUACAGAGAUUUGUGUCAAAACGUAAUUUAGUUUAUGGAGAAGUAUACAUGCUGAAGUCCGGUUGUGUCGAUGUGGAUAAUAUUUUCAUAUCGUGGUAUUCAGCUGUUUGUGUGAUUGUUUAUUUGUGAAAUCGCAGAGCAUGCGAGACAUGAAACUGUCAAGAAAAGGACAUUAGGAAUGAUGAUGAUGAAUCCUUUGAUCAGUCAUAAUUAUACAGCCAGUGGUCGUCAAGCACUUAUGAACUAUGUGUAUGGUUUGAACUUUGCUAACUGUGAUUUUUUUUCCAAGUCUGUCUGAGCGCUUUGUGAUCAAACUGCAAUACACUUUUAUAUGCAGCAACAAAUCGUCACCAGUCGGUAGAGUACUAUCUGUCAAGUUUUAUUUAUUCAUCAUUCUGUGUUCAUUUUUUAAAUAUAUAUAAUAUGUACAGUUUUUUUUUCAAUAUGCCAGCAUUUUUUAUUGGUAAACUUUCUAUAGGUUCAUGUAAAUGUAAUGUAAAACAGGUUCAGCACAAUCUACUGAUUUAGUUAUAUAGCUUGAAAAACUAUAUAGCUUAAUAAAGCUAUUAAGAAUAGGUUGAUUUAGCUAUUUUGUCAUUCAAUUUUCAUAAAUGUGUAUAUUUUUCCAGCAUGUAAACAAAAUCGCACUUUAGUGCAGUUAAAGUUUUCAACUUUGAACUGUUUUGUAAACAAUGCAUGUAAAGAUUAAUCAUCAAUUUGUGUCUCUAUUAUUUAGAAACUUUGCAUUCAAAAUUCUAAAAGCGUUGAGGCAAUUGAUUCAUGAUCUCACAGUUACUUCUUGAAUGAAAUAUAAAGGAGGCCAGUUAUUGUAAAUAAGAUAAUUAAUUGGUAAUAAUUCAACACAAUCUUACCCACGCCUCAUAUCAGUGCACACAACGUGGUGGACAGUUACCCAAACAAUGGAAAUAUAUUUUUUGCUUAAAAGUGUUCAAAAACAGCAAUGUUGAAACUAAAUUAAAAUAGGGUUGCCUUUUUAAUGGUCCAUGGUAUAAAUAUGAACCGUAAUAAACUUGCGAUUUUUUGCAUAUUUCUGAUAACUAACAUUUUUGUGAAAAACUGCAAAUAAAUAGCUAUACCAAGUUAUUCUGAAUAGCUUUAUUAAGUUAUUUAGCUUUUUUAAGCUAUAUAGCUAAAUCAAGAGAUUGUGCCGGACCUGUUAAACAAUGUAUAAAAAUGUAUUUUUAA